rnacentral:rRNA from 1 species
UACGGGGGGGGCAAGCGUUGUUCGGAAUUACUGGGCGUAAAGGGCUCGUAGAUGGCCAACUAAGUCGGACGUGAAAUCCCUCAGCUUAACUGGGGAACUGCGUCCGAUACUGGAUGGCUUGAGUUUGGGAGAGGGAUGCGGAAUUCCAGGUGUAGCGGUGAAAUGCGUAGAUAUCUGGAGGAACACCGGUGGCGAAGGCGGCAUCCUGGACCAACACUGACACUGAGGAGCGAAAGCCAGGGGAGCAAACGGG